rnacentral:rRNA from 1 species
UACGAAGGGGGCUAGCGUUGCUCGGAAUCACUGGGCGUAAAGCGCACGUAGGCGGAUUGCUAAGUCAGGGGUGAAAUCCUGGAGCUCAACUCGAGAACUGCCUUUGAUACUGGCGACCUUGAGUCCGGGAGAGGUGAGUGGAACUGCGAGUGUAGAGGUGAAAUUCGUAGAUAUUCGCAAGAACACCAGUGGCGAAGGCGGCUCACUGGCCCGGUACUGACGCUGAGGUGCGAAAGCGUGGGGAGCAAACAGG